UACGUAGGGGGCAAUCGUUGUCCGGAGUUACUGGGCGUAAAGGGUGCGUAGGUGGUGAUGCAAGUCACUGGUGCAAAACUCUGGCUCAACCGGAGGAAAGCCAGUGAAACUGCAUGACUAGAGUGUGGGAGAGGUAGAAGGAAUUCCCUGAGUAGCGGUGAAAUGCGUAGAUACAGGGAAGAACACCGGAGGCGAAAGCGUUCUACUGGAACACAACUGACACUGAGAGACGAAAGCUAGGGGAGAGAAUGGG
rnacentral:rRNA from 1 species